rnacentral:rRNA from 1 species
UACGGAGGGGGCGAGUGUUGUUCGGAAUUACUGGGCGUAAAGGGCGCGCAGGCGGCCUGGCAAGUCGAGUGUGAAAUCCCUUGGCUUAACUGAGGAAUGGCGCUCGAAACUACCUCGCUGGAGGGCGGGAGAGGGAAGUGGAACUCUCGGUGUAGGGGUGAAAUCUGUAGAUAUCGAGAGGAACACCGGUGGCGAAGGCGGCUUCCUGGCCCGUACCUGACGCUGAGGCGCGAAAGCCAGGGGAGCAAACGGG